AUUUCUCUGAGAUGUUUGCAAGCGGGCCAGUCCCCUGAGCCGAUAUUUCAUACCACAAGAAUGUGGCGCUCCAAGGUUGGUGAGCAUGCUCGGCCCGUCCGAGAAGCCUUAAAACUGUGACGACACAUUCACCUUGAACCAAGGGUUCAAGGGUUACAGCCUGCGGCGGCAUCUCGGAGAUUCC
rnacentral:other from 1 species